rnacentral:tRNA from 1 species
GGAGGGAUGGCCGAGUGGUUGAAGGCAGCGGUCUUGAAAACCGCCGAGCGCAAGCUCCAAGGGUUCGAAUCCCUUUCCCUCCG